ACAGUCCUUGAAUCAAGUUGAUUUUUCAAAGGUGUCGUUGCUUCACCUUCUGCCACUGUUGGAACGGCUCCUCUGCGUCUGUAGAGAGUCGAGGCUCAGUGUGUUGAGGUUAAACGGACCGGUACCGUUCUGACUGAAGAAGCAGCUUUGGCCUCAAUCCAGCACCUGCUUAUUAUGGAGCUGAAAUGACUGCGCUCUGUGUCCAGAUGUGAUCAGAUGAUGUGUUACGCCAUCAAAACGCUGACGAGACAAUGAUGUCGCUGGUUUAGUUUGGGAGGAAAUUACACCACACACUUAGUUCCUUUCAUUUAAACUACCCACAAUGCUCUGUUGUGUCUGGGUGAUUAAAUGAGUAUUACAGCAAUGAGAGGGAGUAAUAACCCUCGGUGCACGACGGUAAUGAGGAUAAUGGACAGUCCGGCUGCUGCGUUUGGUCCAGACCAACAGCUGCGAAGGACAAAACCCAGAACCCAGAGGCCACCGUGGAAAACACAGGAUCCUCAAUCAGCACUAAUGCAAAACAGGCCGCCGGCCCGAAUGAGGCAGCUGUGACUCGCAGGUCACAUGAUGCACCUCCAUGUUCAGUCACUGGAGCAGACGGUUAAAAUCAGGUGAGACGAGCUUUGAAAACGUGACCAAAGCCUUCGAUGUUUCAGUCUCGUUCACAAACGUCUCGCUGGGAAACUGUCAGACUUGGGCAGGCGUCGGACCCACAUGCACAGCACAGAGGCAAGCUGUUUGUGCGACUGAGGGAAGCAGGAAGCCUUCGCCUCCAUGAGGACCGUGUUCCAGCCUGUGACUGGCACUGACCCCACAUCAGCCGGGCUCAAUGGGCUCGAUCCAUGUGACGUCACCAGAAGGUUCAGAGGAGGAGACGAUUCAUCAUCCCUGAUUCAACCAGGAUCCUUUAGGACAGUGUGGGAUGGACACAACAUGGAGUUCUCCGCAGCGCUGCCGUUCAGACGGGGGAUCGAUGUGAGGGCCACGCAGUGACCACAGUGUGGGAAUCCCAACAACACCUCAUUCAUCACCCGGUCCGUCUGCGUGGACACUAGAAGAGACGCCCAGACAAAGGGUUUCUGCCUUUAAUUAGCAGCAGCCACACGAGCCGCUGUGAACGUCUCCUGUUCUGGAAAAGCACAAAACGUGGUUCUCGUGGGUUCGUCGGCUCCACAUCAAAGCAAACACAGACAGGACGUCUGCUUUCUGGCCCAGAGUCAGACGUUCUGCCGCUGCUUCCUUUUGCCCAAGACGACGACCUGGAACCUCCACUGUACACGGAACCCAACGGCAGAACGUGAGCAGACGUCCUGCAGGGAACUCAGAACACUGGCGUUUCUUCUGUGAAGAAAGAAGCAAUAACUCAAACAGGACUCCAGAGUUUUGCUACUUGAUGACGCGGUGCUUGAGUUUCUGAGCUCAGCAGACGGUCAAGGCCUGGAUGUGCUCGAGAGCAGAUCCAUCUGCCACUGUUUGUUUAUUGUGACCCAUUCUGGACAGAAGCCAGUUUCACAACUGAGACACUUUGCUUCUUUUCUCUGAAAAUGCCGUCAUGUUUCCUCUUUCGAUUCUGGACUGUUAAAUGUGAAGACUUAAAUGUGGCUUUGUGAUAUUUUAUGACAUUUAAUAAACAAGUUAAU